rnacentral:rRNA from 1 species
UACGGAGGAUCCAAGCGUUAUCCGGAUUUAUUGGGUUUAAAGGGUGCGUAGGUGGCCUGUUAAGUCAGGGGUGAAAGACGGUAGCUCAACUAUCGCAGUGCCCUUGAUACUGAUGGGCUUGAAUAAACUAGAGGUAGGCGGAAUGUGACAAGUAGCGGUGGAAUGCAUAGAUAUGUCACAGAACACCAAUUGCGAAGGCAGCUUACUAUGGUUUUAUUGACACUGAGGCACGAAAGCGUGGGGAUCAAACAGG